AACCUCUACGAAAGAGAGGCUAAUAACCCAAAAGGGUCAAGAAAUGAUCAGAGUCGAAAGGCGUGAGGAGAGGAGCCCGCGGCCCAUCAGCUAGUUGGUGAGGUAAUGGCUUACCAAGGCUACGACGGGUAGGGGAUCUGAGAGGAUGUCCCCCACACUGGAACUGAAACACGGUCCAGACGCCUACGGGUGGCAGCAGUGAGGAAUAUUGGACAAUGGGCGAAAGCCCGAUCCAGCAACGCCGCGUGGAGGAUGAAGGCCUUCGGGUCGUAAACUUCUUUAGAGGGAGACGAGAAAGGACGGUAUCCCUAGAAUAAGCGACGGCAAACUACGUG
rnacentral:rRNA from 1 species